rnacentral:sRNA from 1 species
GUCUCACGGCCGGAGUUGGUGGUCUGGGAACCCACGUGGGCUGGGUUUCAGAUUGCUCUGCUGGUUCGGCCCGCUGGAGCGCCCACCCGGGCCUAGUCGCCAUGGGGAAGCUGCGCCGGCGGUACAACAUCAAGGGGCGCCAGCAGGCGGGCCCCGGCCCCUCGAAGGGCCCCCCCGAGCCGCCCCCCGUGCAGCUGGAACUGGAGGACAAGGACACGUUGAAGGGAGUUGAUGCAAGCAACGCGCUCGUUCUACCGGGGAAGAAGAAAAAGAAGACCAAAGCCCCUCCCCUGUCAAAGAAGGAGAAGAAGCCUCUGACCAAGAAGGAGAAGAAAGUGCUGCAGAAAAUCUUAGAACAGAAGGAGAAAAAGAGCCAGCGAGCAGAGAUGCUACAGAAGCUGAGUGAAGUCCAGGCUUCCGAAGCUGAGAUGAGACUCUUUUAUACCACUUCCAAGCUAGGCACUGGGGACCGCAUGUACCACACCAAAGAGAAGCCUGACGAGGUGGUAGCCCCGGGCCAGGAGAAGAUCAGCAGCCUCAGCGGUGCCCACCGGAAGCGUCGCCGCUGGCCCUCAGCUGAGGAGGAGGAGGAGGAGGAGGAGUCGGAAUCAGAGCUGGAGGAGGAGUCGGAGCUGGCCGAGGACCCGGCUGCUGAGCCGGCUGAGGCUGGUAUGGGGACCACCGUGGCACCUCUGCCGCCAGCUCCAGCACCCAGCAGUCAGCCCGUGCUGGCUGGGAUGUCUGUUCCUCCUCCUCCAGCUGCAGCCCCACCACUGCCCAGGGCCCUGGCUAAGCCCGCUGUCUUCAUCCCUGUGAACCGCUCCCCGGAAAUGCAGGAAGAACGGCUGAAGCUCCCAAUUCUCUCUGAAGAACAAGUAAUCAUGGAGGCUGUGGCCGAGCACCCCAUCGUCAUCGUGUGUGGGGAGACCGGCAGUGGGAAGACGACACAGGUGCCUCAGUUUCUCUAUGAAGCAGGCUACAGCAGUGAAGACAGCAUCAUCGGUGUCACGGAGCCCCGCCGAGUGGCCGCCAUGGCCAUGUCCCAGCGAGUGGCCAAGGAGAUGAAUCUGUCCCAGCGGGUGGUCUCCUACCAGAUCCGAUAUGAAGGAAACGUGACAGAGGAGACCAGGAUCAAGUUCAUGACGGAUGGUGUGCUGCUCAAAGAAAUCCAGAAGGACUUCCUGCUGCUGCGGUACAAGGUGGUGAUCAUCGACGAGGCCCACGAGAGGAGCGUGUACACGGACAUCCUCAUCGGCCUCCUGUCUCGCAUUGUGACUCUCCGGGCCAAGAGGAACCUGCCACUCAAGCUGCUCAUCAUGUCGGCCACGCUGCGCGUGGAGGACUUCACCCAGAACUCGCGGCUCUUCGCCAAGCCGCCACCGGUCAUCAAGGUGGAAUCCAGGCAGUUCCCAGUGACUGUGCAUUUCAACAAGCGGACGCCGCUGGAAGACUACAGCGGCGAGUGCUUCCGGAAGGUCUGCAAGAUCCACCGGAUGCUGCCCGCAGGUGGCAUCCUGGUGUUCCUGACGGGGCAGGCUGAGGUGCAUGCGCUGUGCCGCAGGCUCAGGAAGGCUUUCCCACCCUCCAGAGCCCGGCCACAAGAAAAGGACGACGAUCAGAAAGACUCGGCGGAGGAAAUGCGGAAGUUUAAGAAGUCGAGGGCCAGGGCCAAGAAGGCGCGGGCCGAGGUGCUGCCCCAGAUCAACUUGGAUCAUUACUCGGUGUUACCGGCAGGCGAAGGCGAUGAGGACAGGGAGGCAGAAGUGGAUGAGGAAGAGGGGGCCCUGGACUCCGACCUCGAUCUGGACCUGGGGGAUGGCGGGCAAGAUGAAGGUGAGCAGCCGGAUGCCUCCCUCCCGCUUCACGUGCUCCCGCUGUACUCUCUGCUGGCCCCAGAGAAGCAAGCACAGGUCUUUAAGCCUCCACCGGAGGGGACUCGGUUGUGUGUUGUGGCCACCAAUGUGGCCGAGACGUCUCUCACCAUCCCUGGCAUCAAGUAUGUGGUGGACUGUGGGAAGGUUAAGAAGCGCUACUACGACCGUGUCACCGGCGUGUCCUCCUUCCAUGUCACCUGGGUCUCCCAGGCAUCAGCUGACCAGCGAGCGGGCAGAGCAGGACGGACAGAGCCCGGCCACUGCUACAGGCUGUAUUCAUCUGCGGUUUUUGGUGACUUCGAGCAGUUUCCUCCUCCAGAAAUCACCCGGAGGCCUGUUGAAGACUUAAUCCUUCAAAUGAAAGCUCUCAACAUUGAAAAGGUCAUCAACUUCCCCUUCCCAACACCCCCCUCCAUGGAAGCCCUUCUUGCCGCCGAGGAGCUGUUGAUCGCACUGGGUGCCCUGCAACCACCCCAGAAAGCAGAAAGGGUGAAGCAACUGCAGAAGAACCGGCUGAGCUGCCCCAUCACUGCACUGGGCCGGACAAUGGCCACGUUCCCCGUGGCACCCCGCUACGCCAAGAUGCUGGCGCUGAGCCGGCAACACGGCUGCCUGCCCUAUGCCAUCACCAUCGUGGCCAGCAUGACGGUGCGGGAGCUGUUUGAGGAGCUGGACAGACCAGCGGCCAGUGACGAGGAGCUUGCCAGGCUGAAGAGCAAGCGGGCCCGGGUGGCCCAGAUGAAGAGGACCUGGGCAGGGCAGGGGGCUUCUCUGAAGCUCGGCGACCUCAUGGUGCUGCUGGGCGCCGUGGGAGCCUGCGAGUACGCCGGCUGCACACCCCAGUUUUGCGAAGCCAACGGGCUGCGGUACAAAGCCAUGAUGGAGAUCCGGCGCCUGCGGGGCCAGCUGACCACCGCAGUCAAUGCCGUGUGCCCCGAGGCUGAGCUCUUCGUGGAUCCCAAGAUGCAGCCGCCCACCGAGAGCCAGGUGACCUACCUGCGACAGAUUGUGACGGCCGGCCUGGGGGACCACCUGGCCCGCAGGGUCCAGAGCGAGGAGCUGCUGGAGGACAAGUGGAGGAACGCCUACAAGACCCCUCUCCUCGACGACCCUGUCUUCAUCCACCCCAGCUCCGUCCUUUUCAAAGAGCUCCCGGAGUUUGUGGUCUACCAGGAAAUCGUGGAGACCACUAAGAUGUACAUGAAAGGCGUCUCUAGCGUGGAGGUCCAGUGGAUCCCGGCCCUGCUGCCCUCUUACUGCCAGUUUGACAAGCCCCUGGAGGAGCCAGCCCCUACCUACUGCCACGAGCGGGGGCGGGUGCUGUGUCACCGGGCCAGUGUGUUCUAUCGCGUGGGCUGGCCGCUCCCCGCCAUCGAGGUGGAUUUUCCAGAGGGCAUUGACCGCUACAAGCACUUUGCCCGGUUCCUGCUGGAAGGGCAGGUCUUCCGCAAGCUGUCCUCAUACCAGAGCUGUCUGCUGUCCAGCCCCGGCACCAUGCUGAAGACGUGGGCCAGGCUGCAGCCCCGUACGGAGAGCCUUCUGCGAGCCCUGGUUGCAGAGAAGGCUGACUGCCAUGAAGCCUUGCUGGCUGCUUGGAAGAAAAACCCCAAAUACCUGCUGGCUGAGUACUGUGAGUGGCUGCCACAGGCCGUGCACCCCGAUAUCGAGAAAGCCUGGCCCCCCACCACUGUCCACUGACCAGAGCCGAGGACUGGUUUGGGGACUGGAGGGAUGGCAGCAGCCUGUCACCCUGCGACCGUGACCACCUGGCAUGGGCUUCAUGGCCUGCUCUCAGGAAGCAGGUCAAGCCCUGGGAACCCUCGUCCAUGAGAGCUUGAUUCCGUAUGAAGCGUGCUGCCGCCCGUGCCAUCUGGCCCGGGGGUGACUUUUUGAACUGUUUAUUAUAUGGUAGAUGAUGAUUUCAUCUCAUGUGCUGGACGCUGUUCUGUUCAGUGUGCUCUUUGGGCUACAUUAGUCCCCUGUGGAGCAGCAGGGCUGGAGGCCUCCAGUCCCUUCCCUGCCCGCCCUGCCAGAAGGCCGAGGAGGCACGUGGAGGGCCUCCUUCCUGCAAUUCUUCCCUCUCUAGAGUCAGGGAGGACGCCCAGCCCUGGCCUCAUGGCCGUUCCAGAUAUUAGGUGAGCCACCGAGCUCUGCAUUGACCUUGAGGGGCCUGGCUGGGGGCCCCCAGGCUCCAUGCCUUCUUGGGAGGGUGGCCGCCAGCACCUUUCCUGUGUUACGGCAACAGGGAGUGGGCAUCUCGUCUGCCUGUGGUCAGCUCUCAGAUGGCAGGGAGCGGAGCUGACCUUGGCUGUGCUUGGUCACCGCUGCCAUGCCGCAGAGGAUGCGCCUAGCUGGGCUGGGGCCACACGACUAUUAUGUCGGCCUUGAAUGGGGACUGCAGAGCCCUCAGUUUGUCUCCCUUGUUCUUCUGUGGCCGAGGUGGGAGGGGGAGGGUGGGGUAGGUCCCCCAGCAAGAAAGAGGGACAGGAGCGCCCCAGGCAGGACCAAGGAGUCGGGAGGCCCCUGCCCUUCCGUCCUCCAUGGUGAGGGCACAGACGUCUCCCCAGAGCCCAGCGCUGGCAGGAUGGAUUCUGCUCCUGGCUUUGCUUCUGCGGCUUCGGUGGAGACAGUUAUGGAAUAAAAUGUUCCUUGCACCCA